ACAUAUUCAGGACAGAAAAGGUUAGUUUAUUGUACUCCCUCCGAUCCAUAGUAAGUUUUGCAGCUUUUAACUAAGGCUGAACUAACCUUAGUCCUUAGUUUAGAACUGCGACACUUAUUUUGGAUCGGAGGGAGUAUGAAAUAAUCGUUGGAUAAUGAAAUGGCUUGAUACUUGGAACAUAGUUUGGCAUCUCCCCUAUUCCAAUAUUUUUUCUGGCAUUUUUGAUCAAUUUCGAAACCACCAUAGCUCUUAUCACACAGAUUGUUGAUUUCAUUUUUUGGUGUUCGAAUAAUUCCGGUAUAGAAGAUUGGGAGGUAUGCCAGUGCUCUAGCUGAAAUGUGGAUUCUGUCAAAUAAAAAUAUUUAUCAGGGGGCUUUCAUUAGCUAAUUGCAUAUUUUUGUAAGCUAUGCUAUGAACUUUAUGGCCUUAUCUAAGCUUUGUAUAGGUUGUGUGUGAUGUGAUGAUUUCAUGGGAUAUGAAGCUUUAAAUUGGGCUCGUAUUUGCAGAGCAGAAAUAUAGAGAAUCGACAUCUGAAGGUAAAUAAAUUGCUUAGUUAUGUUGUUGCUUUAUAUAGUUUUGCAGAGAAGGUUUGGGAAGGGGAAAUAGCUGGUCGUUGGGUGUGGCUUUCAUAGUUGUUAUUCGUAUGUUCUGGUCAUUUGCUGUUUCCUGAAACUCUAUUCUGGCUAAGGAUACACUAUUUUGCAAAAUGAUCUUCAGAAAAUUGUAUCGAGGAUACAAUUGAUAAAUGUCUUCUGCUUGAGGCUUCCUUGGACUAUCACACAAUCCCCUUCGAUGUACUGGCCAUCCUUGAAACUAUCACUAACCAACUGCUGGGAAGAGGCCAAUAGAAAGAAAGCACAACAUGAACCUGUAUAGAGCAGCACCUUCUUAAAGAAAGACCUAGGACCCAGAGAAGGACAACAUACUAUAUACUUGGACAGUUUGGAAAUGAAAAGGCUCUCCUUCCUCUUAUUUCAUUGUCCCUGGAAAAGGAGAAUGAGAAUCGAUAUAUACAAUGUAUUGCCAAUUUUUUACUCGAUAUAAUUAGCAGUUUAGCACCAAUACUUCUCAAGAUAUAACUCUGUAUAUAAUAACAAAGUCAAUAUAUACAAAGAGAUGUUUUUCCGUAAAUUGCACAAAGCUUGUCUGACUACAUUUGAAUUAUCCUGUCAAAAUAUUAUUGAACUGCAUGGUAGACACAUGAAAAAUAUGAGAACCUGUUGUUCAUGCGUAAACAAAUAUAUGAUUGAAUGAUUGGUAGCAAGCAUGUUGGGUGGUGUGUAUUAAGCGUACCAUGUUGAACUUGUUUUUGCUAUAUAAUAGGAGGUCACCAAUUUGGAAUUAUCAGCGCAUGUAAGCAUGGAAUAAUUCUGUUAGUAACCAUAUUUAUAGUAUUGAUUUAUCGAUUCGGUUUAAUGUCGGUAGGACUGGAAAAUAUUUGGCUACAAUAGUGUUAAUGCAAGUUAAGUUUAUGCAAACAAUAAAUCAUAUGAAGGAAGCACUCCAUGAUUUGAUGAAGGCAAAGGAAAAAAAUCAUUUGAUCUGCCCAGUGUAACUGAGUAGCAAAAGAGAAGUAAACAUGACAGAAUCAAACAGCUACAUAUGAAUUAGAUUCUUAAGGCAAGAUCAUUUGCUACAACUAAAAUAUUCAUGAGCUAAACUGGUGAUAGUGAUAUGACACAACCAUCAAUGUUUGCAAUAAGAAAAAGGGUAGUACAAACAAUAAUCCCGGGGACAAUCUUCUUGAUGUGGUGGUGCGAUGAAUCGACCAGACGGCUGCUGCAAGGAGGAGGCAGGUGUGCGAGGCCUCCUACUCCUUCCCCCCGCUGACACCGCUCGCCCCGCUCCUUCCCCCUCUGCUGCAUGCCCUACUCGCCAGCCUGAGCGACAGAGAAGAAACAUUUAAAGUUUGCACAUGUUUACAGAAAUUUAUAGUCACAAACAACUUUGGAGAGAUCCAUUUUCAACAGAAAAGUCACCAGCUAGGAAAAUAGCCCAAAAGUGUGUACAUUUAUUGGUAUGCUUGAACAGAACAUCAAACUGAAUUCUAUUGUGUUGCCUAUCUGUAUUGUUACUCGGAUCUUACAUUUCAAUUUUGUAUUUCUGUCGAUGCAAGUGUGUUCUUCCUACUAUAAAACAACAUGGAUUUCUAUAAAUUAAAUUGUAUAUAUUGUGGAAGAAUAUCCUAUGUAUGUCUGUAUUCAUGUUCAUGCCUACUAUAAAAUAAACAUUCUUCAUUGACUAUGCUUUUUCCUUCUGUUAAUGAUGUUAUGCAGCUCUCCAUCUUAAAUUCCUUCUUCAUUCACUUGAAACAUUUCAUAACUAUUUUUCUGUGUAUUUGGUUUUACAGUCUGACCUAUGAUCAAACUGAAGGUGCCUAGCAUGGUCUGGUAUGCAUUUCUUAAUUUCUCUUGAUUUAUGUUUCUGUUUUUGCUUCGUUUCAUAUUAAACCGAUUGUGUUUGUACAUAUUGAAGAGGUUAUUUCUCGUGUGAAGUUACUAUUUUUUUCCACUUCCGAAGCACCUAACUCAGGUUUUGAUAUUUCUCUGUUUGUAGGGUGCAGGUUCCUUUAUGGUCUACUACUUUACAAGAGAAAACAUUUCUGUGGAAGGAGCUGCUGAUAGGGCUAUCUUAACAACAAACUGGACGGAGUUCUUCACAUUGCAAACAUUGAUGAAGGAAUGAUGUAUGCCUUCACCUUCAGGCGCAAGGCAAAGCGCCU
rnacentral:lncRNA from 1 species